AGAGUUUGAUCAUGGCUCAGGAUGAACGCUGGCGGCGUGCUUAACACAUGCAAGUCGAACGAAGCACUUUAGCUGAAGUUUUCGGAUGGAAGCUAGAUUGACUGAGUGGCGGACGGGUGAGUAACGCGUGGGUAACCUGCCUCAUACAGGGGGAUAACAGUUGGAAACGACUGCUAAUACCGCAUAAGCGCACAGGACCGCAUGGUCCAGUGUGAAAAACUCCGGUGGUAUGAGAUGGACCCGCGUCUGAUUAGCUAGUUGGUGGGGUAACGGCCCACCAAGGCGACGAUCAGUAGCCGACCUGAGAGGGUGACCGGCCACAUUGGGACUGAGACACGGCCCAAACUCCUACGGGAGGCAGCAGUGGGGAAUAUUGCACAAUGGGGGAAACCCUGAUGCAGCGACGCCGCGUGAGUGAAGAAGUAUUUCGGUAUGUAAAGCUCUAUCAGCAGGGAAGAAAAUGACGGUACCUGACUAAGAAGCCCCGGCUAACUACGUGCCAGCAGCCGCGGUAAUACGAAGGGGGCAAGCGUUAUCCGGAUUUACUGGGUGUAAAGGGAGCGUAGACGGCAGCACAAGUCUGGAGUGAAAUGCCGGGGCUUAACCCCGGAACUGCUUUGGAAACUGUGCAGCUAGAGUGCAGGAGAGGUAAGUGGAAUUCCUAGUGUAGCGGUGAAAUGCGUAGAUAUUAGGAGGAACACCAGUGGCGAAGGCGGCUUACUGGACUGUAACUGACGUUGAGGCUCGAAAGCGUGGGGAGCAAACAGGAUUAGAUACCCUGGUAGUCCACUCA
rnacentral:rRNA from 1 species